CCGAGUUUACAACUCCCAAACCCCUGUGAACCAUACCCAUAUCGUUGCCUCGGCGGAUCAGCCCGCUCCGGUAAACGGGGGACCGCCAGAGGACCCCUAAACUCUUGCUUUCUACUAUGUAAUUCUGAGUUUAAACCAUAAAUAAAUCA
rnacentral:misc_RNA from 1 species